rnacentral:lncRNA from 1 species
GAGGGAGCCAAGGUAGUGCUCUCAUUUUCUUUCUACUUUUUCUACUCAGGCAUCGAUUUUUUUAUUUUAAUUUGAGAGUCUUUUUUUUUUUCCUUUGUAUGUCCUUGUGGCUUGAAUUUCGUUCUUCAUCGUUAACUUUUUUUUUUCUUGUAAUUCUUAAUUUUUCCUUCUUGAACCUUGUCUCAAUUCCUUUUUCCAUUAUGCUAUUAUCUUUUGGAAAUCCUAAAUUACUUCUAAGAAGAAAAUCCUAAUUUC